CAGCCGCCGCGGUAAUACGUAGGUGGCAAGCGUUGUCCGGAAUUAUUGGGCGUAAAGCGCGCGCAGGCGGAUAGGUCAGUCUGUCUUAAAAGUUCGGGGCUUAACCCCGUGAUGGGAUGGAAACUGCCAAUCUAGAGUAUCGGAGAGGAAAGUGGAAUUCCUAGUGUAGCGGUGAAAUGCGUAGAUAUUAGGAAGAACACCAGUGGCGAAGGCGACUUUCUGGACGAAAACUGACGCUGAGGAGCGAAAGCGUGGGGAGCGAACAGGAUUAGAUACCCGGGUAGUCCCUGUCUCUUAUACC
rnacentral:rRNA from 1 species